rnacentral:rRNA from 1 species
GAUGAACGCUAGCGGCAGGCCUAACACAUGCCAGUCGAGGGAGAAGCCUUUCGGGGCAGCAACCGGCGCACGGGUGCGUAACGCGUAUGCAACCUACCUUUCACAGGGGGAUAGCCCGAAGAAAUUUGGAUUAAUACCCCAUAAUAUUGUUGGAUGGCAUCAUCUGAUAAUUAAAACUGCGGUGGUGAAAGAUGGGCAUGCGUCCUAUUAGCUAGUUGGAGUGGUAACGGCACCCCAAGGCUACGAUAGGUAGGGGUCCUGAGAGGGAGAUCCCCCACACUGGUACUGAGACAGGGACCAGACUCCUACGGGAGGCAGCAGUGAGGAAUAUUGGUCAAUGGUCGGAAGACUGAACCAGCCAUGCCGCGUGCAGGAAGAAUGCCUUAUGGGUUGUAAACUGCUUUUAUAUGGGAAGAAUAAGGUGUACGUGUACAUUGAUGACGGUACCAUAUGAAUAAGCAUCGGCUAACUCCGUG